CUACGUGCCAGCAGCCGCGGUAAUACGGAAGGUCCGGGCGUUAUCCGGAUUUAUUGGGUUUAAAGGGAGCGUAGGCCGGAGAUUAAGUGUGUUGUGAAAUGUAGACGCUCAACGUCUGACUUGCAGCGCAUACUGGUUUCCUUGAGUACGCACAACGUUGGCGGAAUUCGUCGUGUAGCGGUGAAAUGCUUAGAUAUGACGAAGAACUCCGAUUGCGAAGGCAGCUGACGGGAGCGCAACUGACGCUGAAGCUCGAAGGUGCGGGUAUCGAACAGGAUUAGAUACCCUGGUAGUCCGCACAGUAAACGAUGGAUGCCCGCUGUUGGUACCCGGUAUCAGCGGCUAAGCGAAAGCAUUAAGCAUCCCACCUGGGGAGUACGCCGGCAACGGUGAAACUCAAAGGAAUUGACGGGGGCCCGCACAAGCGGAGGAACAUGUGGUUUAAUUCGAUGAUACGCGAGGAACCUUACCCGGGCUUGAA
rnacentral:rRNA from 1 species